GCCGGGCUGGAGCACGUCCCCGCAGGUGCUGGUCCUGUUCACCUCCAGCCUCACCAGCAGGAAGCCGCCGACGAACAGAUACUGCGGACUGCUCUGGUACAUCGAUGACAAUCUCUUUGAGACUCUGCACGUAGCGAACUCGGUCAAGUAAAGGAAAAAGGGUGGAUACCGGCUCUAAGAUCCGGUGGAAGCGACCCAUUCUUUCCACCACCCAGGCUUCUUGCUGGGGCACGAACAGGACCACGGUAUUCAUGGGCAGGCUG